UAGUGAUAUUCACCUGCUGUACCUACUUUGUUUAUUUCGAAUUUGACCUCUAGCCAAAUGUCACGAACAAUAUAUUAUAUACAUGAAGGUCAUUGUUGUAUAUAUAUAUAUAUCACAUGCAGCGUCGUCUGUUUGUUUUGUUCCAAUGAGCAGACGACACAAAAACGUGACACAAAAGGAAAAAAAAGUGUGCGAAAUUCAAAUAUCAUGUGCGCUAUCCCCGAAAACGAAAUAUUCCAUGGAUUUGUCUCCGACUAUAGCAAAGGGCUUGCACGUACGUGAGUUUUUACUUUGUCGAAAGUGUGAAAACAGAAUAAUUAGUUAUUACACUUAUAAAUUAACGUACAAUCAAUUAGUUGUGUUUGAUUGAUUCGGGAUGAGUAAACAAAGUUACCAAAUAGCUAGUGGAACUGUAUAAAGGUGAUUUGAGGAUUAUGACAGGAUGCGUUAAACAGAUGCAACAAUUACCAAAUAAAUAACGAAGAAGGAGCUACAUAAUGUUCCUGUGUCAAAAAUGUGGAUGUGACGUGAAUGGAAGAGAAACGCAUAUCAGUACUAUAUAUAUGCCUUUUGUGAAUGAUGUUGGAUGUUUUUGUGAGCUCGUAAAGCUUUUAUCAUCGACUAUUGAUUGAAAAAAAGUACAUUGUUAAUAACCA